GAAAAGGAAAAGGAAAGUCAAGAAGUUCAAGAAAGUCUCUUGAACCUAUUGUAUUGCAAAACAAAAUGGAAACCCUCCAUAUAAAAAAAAGAGAAAAAAAAAGAGAAAAGAAAAGAAAGAAAAAGAAAGUGGUGGAAUAAAAGUGCAAAAGAAACUGGGUUUCCAAGCAAUACAUGGAGAACGAAUAAUAGGAUGACUUAUGAGCACUAGAAGAAGAAUUGAGAAAUAAAGGG
rnacentral:lncRNA from 1 species